AAGGAUUGCUGACUGAUAGUGCACAAAGUACUGUGAAGGAACUAAUGAAACUGGGCGAAAAUACUAACUAAACUAAGUGCGCAUUCCACACAAAUGUGAGCAUUAGCGCAUAACCAUUCUCCAGGGAAUUUAAACGCACAAACCUAUUAAACUUCGUAAUAUAUUACACGUUCAACAUUUUUACA
rnacentral:rRNA from 1 species